rnacentral:rRNA from 1 species
GUGGGGAAUCUUGCGCAAUGGGCGAAAGCCUGACGCAGCCAUGCCGCGUGAAUGAUGAAGGUCUUAGGAUUGUAAAAUUCUUUCACCGGGGACGAUAAUGACGGUACCCGGAGAAGAAGCCCCGGCUAACUUCGUGCCAGCAGCCGCGGUAAUACGAAGGGGGCUAGCGUUGCUCGGAAUUACUGGGCGUAAAGGGCGCGUAGGCGGACAGUUAAGUUGGGGGUGAAAGCCCGGGGCUCAACCUCGGAACUGCCUUCAAUACUGGCUGUCUUGAGUAUGAGAGAGGUGUGUGGAACUCCGAGUGUAGAGGUGAAAUUCGUAGAUAUUCGGAAGAACACCAGUGGCGAAGGCGACACACUGGCUCAUUACUGACGCUGAGGCGCGAAAGCGUGGGGAGCAAACAGGAUUAGAUACCCUAGUAGUCC